GUGGGGAAUCUUGCGCAAUGGGCGAAAGCCUGACGCAGCGACGCCGCGUGAGUGAUGAAGGCCUUCGGGUUGUAAAGCUCUGUGGAGGGAGACGAAUAAGGGUUGGCCAACACCCAGCUCGAUGACGGUAUCCCUUUAGCAAGCACCGGCUAACUCUGUGCCAGCAGCCGCGGUAAGACAGAGGGUGCAAACGUUGUUCGGAAUUACUGGGCGUAAAGCGCGUGUAGGCUGCUUGGAAAGUCGGAUGUGAAAGCCCUGGGCUCAACCUAGGAAGUGCAUUCGAAACUUCCAAGCUGGAGUGCUGGAGAGGAAGGCGGAAUUCUCGGUGUAGAGGUGAAAUUCGUAGAUAUCGAGAGGAACACCGGUGGCGAAGGCGGCCUUCUGGACAGCUACUGACGCUGAGACGCGAAAGCGUGGGGAGCAAACAGGAUUAGAUACCCCGGUAGUCC
rnacentral:rRNA from 1 species